AGGCAGCAGUGGGGAAUAUUGCGCAAUGGACGAAAGCCUGACGCAGCAACGCCGCGUGAGGGAUGACGGCCUUCGGUUUGUAAACCUCUUUCAUCAGGGACGAAGCGAGAGUGACGGUACCUGCAGAAGAAGGCCCGGCCAACUACGUGCCAGCAGCCGCGGUAAUACGUAGGGUCCGAGCGUUGUCCGGAAUUAUUGGGCGUAAAGGGUUCGUAGGCGGUUCGUCACGUCGGGAGUGAAAACUCGGGGCUUAACUCCGAGCCUGCUUCCGAUACGGGCAGACUAGAGGUAGGCAGGGGAGAGCGGAAUUCCUGGUGUAGCGGUGAAAUGCGCAGAUAUCAGGAGGAAC
rnacentral:rRNA from 1 species